rnacentral:rRNA from 1 species
CACGUAGUUAGCCGGGGGCUUCUUGGUCGGGUACCGUCCGCGGCUCUCGCGAACCGUGUUUCUUCCCCGCUGACAGAGCUUUACGCGCCGAAAACGCUUCUUCACUCACGCGGCGUCGCUGCAUCAGGGUUUCCCUCAUUGUGCAAUAUUCCCCACUGCUGCCUCCCGUAGGAGUUUGGGCCGUGUCUCAGUCCCAAUGUGGCCGUCCGCCCUCUCAGGCCGGCUACUGAUCGUCGCCUUGGUGGGCCGUUACCCCGCCAACCAGCUAAUCAGACGCGGGUCCAUCCCGUACCACCGGAGUUUUCAAGAAAGAAACAUGCGUCCCCUUCUGUUAUGCGGUAUUAGCACCUGUUUCCAGGUGUUAUCCCCCGGUACGGGGCAGGUUCCCCACGCGUUACUCACCCGUCCGCCACUAAGGCCCGCGCCUUCCGGGUCUGGUAAACCAUCCCCUUCCGCCGCUGGCCCCCGUUCGACUUGCAUGUGUUAGGCACGCCGCCAGCGUUCAUCCUGAGCCAGGAUCAAAACUCU